GGGUUGUGAGGUUAAGCGACUAAGCGUACACGGUGGAUGCCCUGGCAGUCAGAGGCGAUGAAGGACGUGCUAAUCUGCGAUAAGCGUCGGUAAGGUGAUAUGAACCGUUAUAACCGGCGAUUUCCGAAUGGGGAAACCCAGUGUGUUUCGACACACUAUCAUUAACUGAAUCCAUAGGUUAAUGAGGCGAACCGGGGGAACUGAAACAUCUAAGUACCCCGAGGAAAAGAAAUCAACCGAGAUUCCCCCAGUAGCGGCGAGCGAACGGGGAGCAGCCCAGAGCCUGAAUCAGUAUGUGUGUUAGUGGAAGCGUCUGGAAAGGCGCGCGAUACAGGGUGACAGCCCCGUACACAAAAAUGCACAUGCUGUGAGCUCGAUGAGUAGGGCGGGACACGUGGUAUCCUGUCUGAAUAUGGGGGGACCAUCCUCCAAGGCUAAAUACUCCUGACUGACCGAUAGUGAACCAGUACCGUGAGGGAAAGGCGAAAAGAACCCCGGCGAGGGGAGUGAAAAAGAACCUGAAACCGUGUACGUACAAGCAGUGGGAGCACAGAGCAAUCUGUGUGACUGCGUACCUUUUGUAUAAUGGGUCAGCGACUUAUAUUCUGUAGCAAGGUUAACCGAAUAGGGGAGCCGAAGGGAAACCGAGUCUUAACUGGGCGUUAAGUUGCAGGGUAUAGACCCGAAACCCGGUGAUCUAGCCAUGGGCAGGUUGAAGGUUGGGUAACACUAACUGGAGGACCGAACCGACUAAUGUUGAAAAAUUAGCGGAUGACUUGUGGCUGGGGGUGAAAGGCCAAUCAAACCGGGAGAUAGCUGGUUCUCCCCGAAAGCUAUUUAGGUAGCGCCUCGUGAAUUCAUCUCCGGGGGUAGAGCACUGUUUCGGCAAGGGGGUCAUCCCGACUUACCAACCCGAUGCAAACUGCGAAUACCGGAGAAUGUUAUCACGGGAGACACACGGCGGGUGCUAACGUCCGUCGUGAAGAGGGAAACAACCCAGACCGCCAGCUAAGGUCCCAAAGUCAUGGUUAAGUGGGAAACGAUGUGGGAAGGCCCAGACAGCCAGGAUGUUGGCUUAGAAGCAGCCAUCAUUUAAAGAAAGCGUAAUAGCUCACUGGUCGAGUCGGCCUGCGCGGAAGAUGUAACGGGGCUAAACCAUGCACCGAAGCUGCGGCAGCGACGCUGAUGCGUUGUUGGGUAGGGGAGCGUUCUGUAAGCCUGUGAAGGUGUGCUGUGAGGCAUGCUGGAGGUAUCAGAAGUGCGAAUGCUGACAUAAGUAACGAUAAAGCGGGUGAAAAGCCCGCUCGCCGGAAGACCAAGGGUUCCUGUCCAACGUUAAUCGGGGCAGGGUGAGUCGACCCCUAAGGCGAGGCCGAAAGGCGUAGUCGAUGGGAAACAGGUUAAUAUUCCUGUACUUGGUGUUACUGCGAAGGGGGGACGGAGAAGGCUAUGUUGGCCGGGCGACGGUUGUCCCGGUUUAAGCGUGUAGGCUGGUUUUCCAGGCAAAUCCGGAAAAUCAAGGCUGAGGCGUGAUGACGAGGCACUACGGUGCUGAAGCAACAAAUGCCCUGCUUCCAGGAAAAGCCUCUAAGCAUCAGGUAACAUCAAAUCGUACCCCAAACCGACACAGGUGGUCAGGUAGAGAAUACCAAGGCGCUUGAGAGAACUCGGGUGAAGGAACUAGGCAAAAUGGUGCCGUAACUUCGGGAGAAGGCACGCUGAUAUGUAGGUGAAGUCCCCCGCGGAUGGAGCUGAAAUCAGUCGAAGAUACCAGCUGGCUGCAACUGUUUAUUAAAAACACAGCACUGUGCAAACACGAAAGUGGACGUAUACGGUGUGACGCCUGCCCGGUGCCGGAAGGUUAAUUGAUGGGGUUAGCGCAAGCGAAGCUCUUGAUCGAAGCCCCGGUAAACGGCGGCCGUAACUAUAACGGUCCUAAGGUAGCGAAAUUCCUUGUCGGGUAAGUUCCGACCUGCACGAAUGGCGUAAUGAUGGCCAGGCUGUCUCCACCCGAGACUCAGUGAAAUUGAACUCGCUGUGAAGAUGCAGUGUACCCGCGGCAAGACGGAAAGACCCCGUGAACCUUUACUAUAGCUUGACACUGAACAUUGAGCCUUGAUGUGUAGGAUAGGUGGGAGGCUUUGAAGUGUGGACGCCAGUCUGCAUGGAGCCGACCUUGAAAUACCACCCUUUAAUGUUUGAUGUUCUAACGUUGACCCGUGAUCCGGGUUGCGGACAGUGUCUGGUGGGUAGUUUGACUGGGGCGGUCUCCUCCUAAAGAGUAACGGAGGAGCACGAAGGUUGGCUAAUCCUGGUCGGACAUCAGGAGGUUAGUGCAAUGGCAUAAGCCAGCUUGACUGCGAGCGUGACGGCGCGAGCAGGUGCGAAAGCAGGUCAUAGUGAUCCGGUGGUUCUGAAUGGAAGGGCCAUCGCUCAACGGAUAAAAGGUACUCCGGGGAUAACAGGCUGAUACCGCCCAAGAGUUCAUAUCGACGGCGGUGUUUGGCACCUCGAUGUCGGCUCAUCACAUCCUGGGGCUGAAGUAGGUCCCAAGGGUAUGGCUGUUCGCCAUUUAAAGUGGUACGCGAGCUGGGUUUAGAACGUCGUGAGACAGUUCGGUCCCUAUCUGCCGUGGGCGCUGGAGAACUGAGGGGGGCUGCUCCUAGUACGAGAGGACCGGAGUGGACGCAUCACUGGUGUUCGGGUUGUCAUGCCAAUGGCACUGCCCGGUAGCUAAAUGCGGAAGAGAUAAGUGCUGAAAGCAUCUAAGCACGAAACUUGCCCCGAGAUGAGUUCUCCCUGACCCUUUAAGGGUCCUGAAGGAACGUUGAAGACGACGACGUUGAUAGGCCGGGUGUGUAAGCGCAGCGAUGCGUUGAGCUAACCGGUACUAAUGAACCGUGAGGCUUAACCUUACAACGCCGAAGGUGUUU
rnacentral:rRNA from 1 species